UACAGAGGUCCCAAGCGUUGUUCGGAUUAACUGGGCGUAAAGGGUGCGUAGGCGGUCGGGUAAGUCUGACGUGAAAUCUCCGGGCCUAACCCGGAAACUGCGUUGGAUACUAUCCGGCUAGAGGAAUGGAGGGGAGACUGGAAUACUUGGUGUAGCAGUGAAAUGCGUAGAUAUCAAGUGGAACACCAGUGGCGAAGGCGAGUCUCUGGACAGUUCCUGACGCUGAGGCACGAAGGUCAGGGGAGCAAACGGG
rnacentral:rRNA from 1 species